GACGAACGCUGGCGGCGUGCCUAAUACAUGCAAGUCGAGCGAAUUUACGAGAGCUUGCUCUCGUAAAUUAGCGGCGGACGGGUGAGUAACACGUGGGUAACCUGCCUGUAAGACUGGGAUAACUUCGGGAAACCGGAGCUAAUACCGGAUAGUUUCUUUUCUCGCAUGAGAAGAGAUGGAAAAGAUGGGUUUUCGGCUAUCACUUACAGAUGGACCCGCGGCGCAUUAGCUAGUUGGUGAGGUAAUGGCUCACCAAGGCGACGAUGCGUAGCCGACCUGAGAGGGUGAUCGGCCACACUGGGACUGAGACACGGCCCAGACUCCUACGGGAGGCUG
rnacentral:rRNA from 1 species